UGGAAGGUGGCUCAGUGGUAGAGUGCUUGCCUUGCAUGCAUGAUGUCCUGUGUUCAAUUCCUGUCCAC
rnacentral:tRNA from 1 species